rnacentral:rRNA from 1 species
UACGGGAGGAUCCAAGCGUUAUCCGGAUUUAUUGGGUUUAAAAGGGUGCGUAGGUGGCUUUUUAAGUCAGGGGUGAAAGACGGUAGCUUAACUAUCGCAGUGCCUUUGAUACUGAAGAGCUUGAAUGAACUAGAGGUAGGCGGAAUGUGACAAGUAGCGGUGAAAUGCAUAGAUAUGUCACAGAACACCAAUUGCGAAGGCAGCUUACUAUGGUUUUAUUGACACUGAGGCACGAAAGCGUGAGGAUCAAACAGG